rnacentral:rRNA from 1 species
CCUACGGGUGACAGCAGUGGGGGAUAUUGCACAAUGGGGGAAACCCUGAUGCAGCGACGCCGCGUGUGGGAAGACGGUCCUCUGGAUUGUAAACCACUGUCCCCAGGGACUAAGAUGACGGUACCUGGGGAUGAAGCUCCGGCUAACUACGUGCCAGCAGCCGCGGUAAUACGUAGGGAGCGAGCGUUGUCCGGAAUUACUGGGUGUAAAGGGAGCGUAGGCGGUGAUGCAAGUUGGGUGGCAAAACUACCGGCUCAACUGGUAGUCGCACUCGAAACUGCAGCUCUUGAGUGAAGUAGAGGCAGGCGGAAUUCCUAGUGUAGCGGUGAAAUGCGUAGAUAUUAGGAGGAACACCAGUGGCGAAGGCGGCCUGCUGGGCUUUUACUGACGCUGAGGCUCGAAAGUGUGGGGAGCAAACAGGAUUAGAUACCCCGGUAGUC